GAGUGCAAUUUUUAGGCUUAAUUUGAGGAACCGUUUAGGCUAAAAAUUUGAGGAAAAAAGGCUUCAUAUUUAUUUUAAGAGAAUUGGUCCAAUUAUCUGGGUUUGAUUGAGUCACCUUCAUUUGAAUCUCAACAAUGGCUGUGGUCAGACGGCGUUUUGAAGGAGCAGACGAUCAGUGUAAAAUAUUAAGAGCAACUUCUGAGAUGACAAUGGAGCUUGUGGUGAAAGAAAAAAUGUCAAAAACCCUUGCUCUCCGAAGACAUGAGGUGGUUGAAUUGUGCCCAACUUGCAGAAUUUAAAGAUCACUGGCCUGCUCUGUUUGACAUUCUCCAGAUUAAUGAAGAGUUUAGGAGAAUUACUACUCUGCACCUUGAGACAACAUUUAUUAAGAUGUUGGAUUACUACACUCCUAAACUUUUCACAAUAUUUUCCUGCAAAGGAGGAGCACUCGGACAGAUUUUGAAGAAGAAAACGGGUGCCAUACAGCAGACCUCACAUCAAAACAUAGAACAGACAAGAGAUGUUGUCCUCCGUUGCUUGGUCUAUUACUUGGGUGAAAAGGAGGAAGACCUCAUCCAGGAGUACAAUGUAAGUGUCUAAAACUAAUUCAGAUAUUUGUUUGCAGAAAACUGCAAUUAGCAUUUGUUUUCCUUUACAAAAACAGAAAUACAUCUUAAACAUAAGUACGUUCCUCAUGCAAAAACAUUCUUGCACUAGUGUCAGUGUCACGCAACGUGCCGAACGGGUGAUCGCUCAGGCAGCGCGAGGGAACAGGCAGGCAGGCGGAAAACAGGGCAAACUGGGGGUUUAUUGGGGAAUGCGGGUCGACAAACACCAGGUAACAUCAAUGACAGACAAAGGACUCGGGUAAGACAUGGACUGAAAUACACAGGACUGAGCAAAGUAACUAGACACAGCUGGGUACAAUCGGGAAAGAACACGUGGGUAAUCAGGGGAGCGUGGC